rnacentral:rRNA from 1 species
UACGUAGGGUGCGAGCGUUGUCCGGAAUUAUUGGGCGUAAAGGGCUCGUAGGCGGUCUGUCGCGUCGAUCGUGAAAACUUGGGGCUUAACCCUGAGCUUGCGGUCGAUACGGGCAUGACUGGAGUUCGGCAGGGGAGACUGGAAUUCCUGGUGUAGCGGUGAAAUGCGUAGAUAUCGGGAGGAACACCGGUGGCGAAAGCGGCUCACUGGACCGUCUCUGACGCUGAGGUGCGAAAGCUAGGGUAGCAAACGGG